rnacentral:lncRNA from 1 species
AUAUUUUCAGCUAACAAACCAGUUGUGAUAUUAAAUGUAACGAUCUAGUCCACUGACACUAAUAAUUUAUUAGGUCCAAAUAGUUAAUCUAAAAUAUUUAAGCCCAAUCAUUAACAUUAGAGUCUGUAAUUGUUAUAUUUUUAUUCAAUCCGACAGAAACUAUAAAGACAUCACAUACAUGUAAAUCAGAAUUAUAUUUGUACUACAACAAAAUAAUAGGAGAGACGUAUGAAUGAGAAACUAUUUUU